rnacentral:rRNA from 1 species
ACGCUCGACACCUACGAGAGGCAGCAGUGGGGGAUAUUGCACAGUGGGGGGAACCCUGAUGCAGCGACGCCGCGUGAGGGAAGAAGGUUUUCGGAUUGUAAACCUCUGUCCUCAGGGAAGAAGAUGACGGUACCUGAGGAGGAAGCCACGGCUAACUACGUGCCAGUAGCCGCGGUAAUCUGAGCGGGCUGGCAAGGC